rnacentral:rRNA from 1 species
CCAACCCAAUGUGAACCAUACCAAACUGUUGCCUCGGCGGGGUCACGCCCCGGGCGCGUCGCAGCCCCGGAACCAGGCGCCCGCCGGAGGGACCAACCAAACUCUUUUCUGUAGUCCCCUCGCGGACGUUAUUUCUUACAGCUCUGAGCAAAAAUUCAAAAUGAAUCAAAACUUUCAACAACGGAUCUCUUGGUUCUGGCAUCGAUGAAGAACGCAGCGAAAUGCGAUAAGUAAUGUGAAUUGCAGAAUUCAGUGAAUCAUCGAAUCUUUGAACGCACAUUGCGCCCGCCAGUAUUCUGGCGGGCAUGCCUGUCCGAGCGUCAUUUCAACCCUCGAACCCCUCCGGGGGGUCGGCGUUGGGGACCUCGGGAGCCCCUAAGACGGGAUCCCGGCCCCGAAAUACAGUGGCGGUCUCGCCGCAGCCUCUCCUGCGCAGUAGUUUGCACAACUCGCACCGGGAGCGCGGCGCGUCCACGUCCGUAAAACACCCAACUUCUGAAAUGUUGACCUCGGAUCAGGUAGGAAUACCCGCUGAACUUAAGCAUAUCA